rfam:Fonticula alba strain ATCC 38817 mitochondrial scaffold supercont2.212, whole genome shotgun sequence.
GAGUUUAUAGCUCAACGGCUAGAGCAAGUAUAUACACCUGAUAUGGGUUCGAAUCCCAUUAAACUCC